GACGAACGCUGGCGGCGUGCUUAACACAUGCAAGUCGAACGGUGAAGCGCCUUCCUUUUUGGUGGGUGUGGAUGAGUGGCGAACGGGUGAGUAACACGUGAGUAACCUGCCCCCUUCUUCUGGAUAACCGCAUGAAAGUGUGGCUAAUACGGGAUAUUCUGGGUCUGUCGCAUGAUGGGUCUGGGAAAGAUAUUGUUUCGGUGGGGGAUGGGCUCGCGGCCUAUCAGCUUGUUGGUGGGGUGAUGGCCUACCAAGGCGGUGACGGGUAGCCGGCCUGGGAGGGUGGACGGCCACACUGGGACUGAGACACGGCCCAGACUCCUACGGGCGGCAGCAGUGGGGAAUAUGGAACAAUGGGCGAAAGCCUGAUGCAGCGACGCCGCGUGAGGGAUGGAGGCCUUCGGGUUGUGAACCUCUUUCGCCAGUGAAGCAGGCCUGCCUCGUUUGUGGGUGGGUUGACGGUAGCUGGAUAAGAAGCGCCGGCUAACUACGUG
rnacentral:rRNA from 1 species